rnacentral:rRNA from 1 species
AGAGCGAACGCUGGCGGCAGGCCUAACACAUGCAAGUCGAGCGCCCGUAGCAAUACGGGAGCGGCAGACGGGAUAGUAACACGUGGGAACGCGCCCUUCGGUUCGGAAUAACUCAGGGAAACUUGAGCUAAUACCGAAUACGCCCUUACGGGGAAAGAUUUAUUGCCGAAGGAACGGCCCGCGUCCGAUUAGCUAGUUGGUGAGGUAAUGGCUCACCAAGGCUACGAUCGGUAGCUGGUCUGAGAGGAUGACCAGCAUCACUGGGACUGAGACACGGCCCAGACUCCUACGGGAGGCAGCAGUGGGGAUAUUGGACAAUGGGCGCAAGCCUGAUCCAGCCAUGCCGCGUGGAUGAUGAAGGCCUUAGGGUUGUAAAGUCCUUUUAACGGGAAGAUAAUGACGGUACCCGUAGAAUAAGCCCGGCUAACUUCGUGCCAGCAGCCGC